UACGUAGGGUGCAAGCGUUAAUCGGAAUCACUGGGCUUAAAGCGUGUGUAGGCGGGUCGUUAAGUGUCUUGUGAAAUCCCACCGCUCACCGGUGGAACGGCUGGGCAUACUGGCGACCUUGAGAGGCCUAGGGGCAGACGGAACAAGCGGUGGAGCGGUGAAAUGCGUAGAUAUCGCUUGGAACGCCGACGGCGAAAGCAGUCUGCUGGGGGCCUCUGACGCUGAGACACGAAAGCC
rnacentral:rRNA from 1 species